GAGACACCCUUAUGGAGCAGGACUUGCUUCAGUGGGGCUUUGGCGCCGGUCACUGAGUCUGCCCCGAGUGUGUCUCU
rnacentral:pre_miRNA from 1 species